ACCACCUCAACUCCCUGCACCUGCAUUUAACAUACGGAGAGUUACUCAAGGAACGGCAGUCCCUCCUCAACUCCCUCCACCCCCACACCAGCCCUCAACGUGCAGCGAACAGAGGAGCUUUGUGCUGUGAGGAAAAACAUGGUGACACGGUC